rnacentral:rRNA from 1 species
GAGGAUCGGGGCUUCUUCUGCAGGUACCGUCACUUACGCUUCUUCCCUACUGAAAGAGGUUUACAACCCGAAGGCCGUCAUCCCUCACGCGGCGUCGCUGCAUCAGGCUUCCGCCCAUUGUGCAAUAUUCCCCACUGCUGCCUCCCGUAGGAGUCUGGGCCGUGUCUCAGUCCCAGUGUGGCCGGUCACCCUCUCAGGCCGGCUACCCGUCGUCGCCUUGGUAGGCCAUUACCCCACCAACAAGCUGAUAGGCCGCGAGUCCAUCCAAAACCGCAAAAGCUUUCCACCAACCACCAUGCGAUGAUCAGUCAUAUCCGGUAUUAGACCCAGUUUCCCAGGCUUAUCCCAGAGUCAAGGGCAGGUUACUCACGUGUUACUCACCCGUUCGCCACUAAUCCCCCCACAAGUGAGGAUCAUCGUUCGACUUGCAUGUGUUAAGCACGCCGCCAGCGUUCAUCCUGAGCCAUGAUCAAACUCUA